ACACAUGCAUCAACUAUUUACAUCUAUCCUUGUUCACCCAAGCAUGUCACUGGGUGUUUUUUUCUUAUGAUAGAGAGCAUAGUUUUCAUACUACUCCCCCGUAGUAUAUAUGACUUUAGCAUUCCCGUAUAAUAGUUUACGGGGUGCUUUUU
rfam:Staphylococcus phage tp310-3, complete sequence.